rnacentral:rRNA from 1 species
CAAGUCGUGGGGCAGCAUGUCCCGCAGCAAUGCGGGAUGAUGGCGACCGGCAAACGGGUGCGGAACACGUACACAACCUUCCUUUUAGUGGAGAAUAGCCCAGGGAAACUUGGAUUAAUACUCCGUAACAUAUAGAAGUGGCAUCACUUUUAUAUUAUAGCAGCAAUGCGCUAGAAGAUGGGUGUGCGGCUGAUUAGAUAGUUGGCGGGGUAACGGCCCACCAAGUCGACGAUCAGUAACUGGUGUGAGAGCACGACCAGUCACACGGGCACUGAGACACGGGCCCGACUCCUACGGGAGGCAGCAGUAAGGAAUAUUGGUCAAUGGACGCAAGUCUGAACCAGCCAUGCCGCGUGGAGGAUGAAGGUCCUCUGGAUUGUAAACUUCUUUUAUUUGGGAAGAAACCCAUCUUUUCUAAGAUGGUUGACGGUACCAGAUGAAUAAGCACCGGCUAACUCCGUGCCAGCAGCCGCGGUAAUACGGAGGGUGCAAGCGUUAUCCGGAUUCACUGGGUUUAAAGGGUGCGUAGGUGGGCAAGUAAGUCAGUGGUGAAAUCUCCGGGCUUAACCCGGAAACUGCCAUUGAUACUAUUUGUCUUGAAUACUGUGGAGGUCAGCGGAAUAUGUCAUGUAGCGGUGAAAUGCUUAGAUAUGACAUAGAACACCAAUUGCGAAGGCAGCUGGCUACACAAAUAUUGACACUGAGGCACGAAAGCGUGGGGAUCAAACAGGAUUAGAUACCCUGGUAGUCCACGCCCUAAACUAUGGAUACUCGACAUUUGCGAUAAACUGCAAGUGUCUGAGCGAAAGCAUUAAGUAUCCCACCUGGGAAGUACGAUCGCAAGAUUGAAACUCAAAGGAAUUGGCGGGGGUCCGCACAAGCGGUGGA